AUUGAACGCUGGCGGCAUGCCUUACACAUGCAAGUCGAACGGCAGCACGGGUGCUUGCACCUGGUGGCGAGUGGCGAACGGGUGAGUAAUACAUCGGAACAUGUCCUUUAGUGGGGGAUAGCCCGGCGAAAGCCGGAUUAAUACCGCAUACGAUCCACGGAUGAAAGCGGGGGACCUUCGGGCCUCGCGCUAUAGGGUUGGCCGAUGGCUGAUUAGCUAGUUGGUGGGGUAAAGGCCUACCAAGGCGACGAUCAGUAGCUGGUCUGAGAGGACGACCAGCCACACUGGGACUGAGACACGGCCCAGACUCCUACGGGAGGCAGCAGUGGGGAAUGUUGGACAAUGGGCGAAAGCCUGAUCCAGCAAUGCCGCGUGUGUGAAGAAGGCCUUCGGGUUGUAAAGCACUUUUGUCCGGAAAGAAAUCCUUGGCUCUAAUACAGUCGGGGGAUGACGGUACCGGAAGAAUAAGCACCGGCUAACUACGUG
rnacentral:rRNA from 1 species